rnacentral:lncRNA from 1 species
UCGUCGUCUCUCUCUCUCAUCAUGCCUUGGAGAAAGUUUUUGACUAUGCCUGGAUGUCCCAAAACGUCUAUCAGAUUCUUCAUCUCUUCUGCCUGCAUUAAUGGAUUGGGGGACCAUGUGAGGCGGAAGUGGUGGAGGUGGAGGCAAAAUUUGAUUGUGAAACCGAUCAUCCGUAUGAGAUUUCUCUACAGACGCUUCACUAUGUCGCGGCUUGCUCCUAUCAUCUUUGAUUCUUUCAUCCUUACUUAACCUAUCGAAGUUCCUAUCAGCACCUCUCUCCUGUACUCUUUCAACAGAACGUUCUCUUCCAUCUGUUCCAUAACGUCUAUCAGAUUCUUCAUCUCUUCUGCCUGCAUUAAUGGAUUGGGGGACCAUGUGAGGCGGAAGUGGUGGAGGUGGAGGCAAAUUUUGAUUGUGAAAUCGAUCAUCCAUAUGAGAUUUCUCUACAGACGCUUCAAUAUGUCGCGGCUUGCUCCUAUCAUCUUUGAUUCUUUCAUCCUUACUUAACCUAUCGAAGUUCCUAUCAGCACCUCUCUCCUGUACUCUUUCAACAGAACGUUCUCUUCCAUGCCGCUCUGUCGACCUAUCUCUUGAUUUUUCAGACAAUGUAUCAUCCCCACGACACUUGUCAGGACGGUCCCCUCUUUCUUUGAGGUCUUUCUCAUGUCUUUCACUACCCUUAUCUUUGGAUCUAUCAGACUUGUCAGGACGGUCCACUCUUUCUUUGAGGUCUUUCUCAUGUCUUUCACUACCCUUAUCUUUGGAUCUAUCAAGAGGCUUCUCCGACGCCCGGUUCAAUAUUUGAUCAUCAGAUCCAUGUUUAUCAUAAUCUGAUGCAUGAAGUUUAUCAGCAGCUCGUGCAUCUAUU